AUGUUUACUGGAAGGAGCCCAAUAGAAGGCAUGUUCAGAGAUUCAUUGGAUCUUCAUAAGUUUGUUGAGGAUACACUUCAAGAUAUGACCCUGGAGAUAGCUGACCCAACAAUGCGGCUGCACAAUGGACAAUGGGAUAACACUGCAAGUAUUAGAAUCAUGGAGUUAUUGGUUUCAGUUUUGAGGCUUGGCAUAUCUUGCUCCAAGGCACAGCCUCGAGACCGAUCACUGACGAGGGAUGCAGUGGCAGAGAUGCACACAAUCAGAGAUGCGUACCUCAAGCUUAUGGGGGAGCAUGGAGCAGAAAGAGAAGCCUCGACUCGAGAAAUUGAGAUGAGCGUUGAAUAA
rnacentral:rRNA from 1 species